rnacentral:tRNA from 1 species
GUUUUAAUAAUUUAAUUAAAAAAUAUUGGUCUUGUAAACCAAACUUAGAAAAUACUUCUUUAAAACU